AGAGCGCAGGGUGGAUGCCUUGGCACUAAGAGCCGAAGAAAGACGUGAUAAGCUGCGAAAAGCUGCGGGGAGAUGCAAAUAAUCCUUGAUCCGCAGAUGUCUGAAUGGGGAAACCCGGUACGAAGAACUCGUAUCAUCCAUACGCCAAUCCAUAACGUAUGGAGGGGAACCCGGUGAACUGAAACAUCUAAGUAGCCGGAGGAAGAGAAAGAAACAUCGAUUUUGUUAGUAGCGGCGAGCGAAAGCGAAAGAGGCCAAACCGGAGUGCGUGCACUCCGGGGUUCGGACCGCAUUUAAGAUUCAGUGAUUCUAGCAGAAAGGUUUGGGAAAGCCUGCCGGAGAGGGUGAAAGCCCCGUAAGCGAAAGGAGAGCUGACUGAGCGGAAUCCAGAGUACAUCGAGACACGAGAAACCUUGAUGGAAAGAGCGGGGACCACCCCGUAAGCCUAAAUACUACUUAGUGACCGAUAGCGCAUAGUACUGUGAAGGAAAGGUGAAAAGGACCCCGGGAGGGGAGUGAAAGAGAACCUGAAACCCUGUGUUUACAAGCUGUGGAAGUUCUUUAAAUGAACAACCGCGUACUUUUUGUAGAACGGUCCGGCGAGUUGCGGAUACUGGCAAGGUUAAGCACUUAAGGUGCGGAGCCGAAGGGAUACCAAGUCUUAACAGGGCGUUAAGUCAGUAUACGCAGACCCGAAACCGGGUGAUCUAUCCAUGUCCAGGUUGAAGUUGUCGUAAAAGACAAUGGAGGACCGAAGCCACAUCCGUUGAAAAGGGUGGGCAUGAGGUGUGGAUAGGGGAGAAAUUCCAAUCGAACCCGGAGAUAGCUGGUUCUCCUCGAAAUAGCUUUAGGGCUAGCCUCGAUUUAGUCUUAUGGAGGUAGAGCACUGAAUUUCCGCGGGGGCGUCAAAGCUUACCAAAGAAUAUCAAACUCCGAAUGCCAUGUAGAUGAUGAUCGGGAGUCAGACUGCACGAGAUAAGUUGGGCAGUCAAAAGGGAAAGAGCCCAGACCACCGGCUAAGGUCCCAAAGUGCGUGUUAAGUGGAAAAGGAUGUGGGAAUUCGAAGACAACUAGGAUGUUGGCUCAGAAGCAGCCAUACAUUCAAAGAGUGCGUAACAGCUCACUAGUCGAGAGUUCCUGCGCCGAAAAUGUCCGGGGCUGAAACACGACACCGAAGCCGUGGACUCGCAAUGCGAGUGGUAGAGGAGCAUUCUUAAAACCGACGAAGCUGUACCGAAAGGAGCAGUGGAGGGAUAAGAAGAGAGAAUGCCGGAAUGAGUAGCGAGAGAAAGGUGGGAAUCCUUUCGGCCGAAUAUCUAAGGUUUCCAGAGUAAAGCUGAUCUGCUCUGGGUAAGUCGGGGCCUAAGCACAGGUCGCAAGACGUAAGCGAUGGAUAACAGGUUUAGAUUCCUGUACCACGCAUUAUCAGAACUGUAGGGACGCAUGUGGAAAGCACGAGCCGGGAAUGGAAAGACCGGUACAAGCGAGGUAGGUGUACAAUAGGCAAAUCCGUUGUAUAAUCCGAAGACGUGAUGUGGAGCGAAAUAAAGUAGUGAAGCGUGUGAGCCAUGUGCCGAGAAAAGCUGCUAUUGUGUAAUGCGUGCCCGUACCGUAAACCGACACAGGUGGAUGAGGAGAGAAUCCUAAGGCCGGCGGAAGAAGCAUUGUUAAGGAAUUCGGCAAAAUGACCCCGUAACUUCGGGAGAAGGGGUGCCUGCGAGAGCAGGCCGCAGAGAAUAGGCUCAAGCAACUGUUUAGCAAAAACACAGGUCUAUGCGAAACCGAAAGGUGAAGUAUAUGGGCUGACGCCUGCCCGGUGCUGGAAGGUUAAGAGGAGAGGUUAGCGUAAGCGAAGCUUUGAAUUUAAGCCCCAGUAAACGGCGGCCGUAACUAUAACGGUCCUAAGGUAGCGAAAUUCCUUGUCGGGUAAGUUCCGACCCGCACGAAAGGCGUAAUGAUUUGAGCACUGUCUCGACAAUGCAUCCGGUGAAAUUGAAGUACCAGUGAAGAUGCUGGUUACCCGCGCCAGGACGGAAAGACCCCAUGGAGCUUUACUCCAGUUUGAUACUGGGAUUCGGUACUGCAUGUACAGGAUAGGUGGGAGACGAAGAAGGAUGGACGCCAGUCUGUCCGGAGUCGCUGUUGGGAUACCACCCCUGUAGUACUGGGUUUCUAACCAGUUGCCAUGAACUGGCAAUGGGACAAUGUCAGGCGGGGAGUUUGACUGGGGC
rnacentral:rRNA from 1 species